GACGAACGCUGGCGGCGUGCUUAACACAUGCAAGUCGAACGGAAAGGCCCUGCUUUUGUGGGGUGCUCGAGUGGCGAACGGGUGAGUAACACGUGAGCAACCUGCCCUUGACUUUGGGAUAACUUCAGGAAACUGGGGCUAAUACCGGAUAGGAGCUCCUGCUGCAUGGUGGGGGUUGGAAAGUUUCGGCGGUUGGGGAUGGACUCGCGGCUUAUCAGCUUGUUGGUGGGGUAGUGGCUUACCAAGGCUUUGACGGGUAGCCGGCCUGAGAGGGUGACCGGCCACAUUGGGACUGAGAUACGGCCCAGACUCCUACGGGAGGCAGCAGUGGGGAAUAUUGCACAAUGGGCGGAAGCCUGAUGCAGCAACGCCGCGUGCGGGAUGACGGCCUUCGGGUUGUAAACCGCUUUCGCCUGUGACGAAGCGUGAGUGACGGUAAUGGGUAAAGAAGCACCGGCUAACUACGUGCCAGCAGCCGCGGUGAUACGUAGGGUGCGAGCGUUGUCCGGAUUUAUUGGGCGUAAAGGGCUCGUAGGUGGUUGAUCGCGUCGGAAGUGUAAUCUUGGGGCUUAACCCUGAGCGUGCUUUCGAUACGGGUUGACUUGAGGAGGGUAGGGGAGAAUGGAAUUCCUGGUGGAGCGGUGGAAUGCGCAGAUAUCAGGAGGAACACCAGUGGCGAAGGCGGUUCUCUGGGCCUUUCCUGACGCUGAGGAGCGAAAGCGUGGGGAGCGAACAGGCUUAGAUACCCUGGUAGUCCACGCUGUAAACGGUGGGUACUAGGUGUGGGGUCCAUUCCACGGAUUCCGUGCCGUAGCUAACGCUUUAAGUACCCCGCCUGGGGAGUACGGCCGCAAGGCUAAAACUCAAAGGAAUUGACGGGGCCCCGCACAAGCGGCGGAGCAUGCGGAUUAAUUCGAUGCAACGCGUAGAACCUUACCUGGGUUUGACAUAGAUCGGGAGUGCUCAGAGAUGGGUGUGCCUCUUUUGGGGUCGGUUCACAGGUGGUGCAUGGCUGUCGUCAGCUCGUGUCGUGAGAUGUUGGGUUAAGUCCCGCAACGAGCGCAACCCUUGUUCAUUGUUGCCAGCACGUUAUGGUGGGGACUCAGUGGAGACCGCCGGGGUCAACUCGGAGGAAGGUGGGGAUGACGCCAAGUCAUCAUGCCCCUUAUGUCCAGGGCUUCACGCAUGCUACAAUGGCUGGUACAGAGAGUGGCGAGCCUGUGAGGGUGAGCGAAUCUCGGAAAGCCGGUCUCAGUUCGGAUUGGGGUCUGCAACUCGACCUCAUGAAGUCGGAGUCGCUAGUAAUCGCAGAUCAGCAACGCUGCGGUGAAUACGCUCCCGGG
rnacentral:rRNA from 1 species